UUUGAUCUCAAAUCAGGUAGGACUA
rnacentral:rRNA from 1 species